UACGAAGGGGGCUAGCGUUGCUCGGAAUUACUGGGCGUAAAGGGAGCGUAGGCGGACAUUUAAGUCAGAGGUGAAAUCCCGGAGCUUAACUUCGGAACUGCCUUUGAUACUGGGUGUCUUGAGUGUGAGAGAGGUAUGUGGAACUCCGAGUGUAGAGGUGAAAUUCGUAGAUAUUCGGAAGAACACCAGUGGCGAAGGCGACAUACUGGCUCAUUACUGACGCUGAGGCUCGAAAGCGUGGGGAGCAAACAGG
rnacentral:rRNA from 2 species